UUUCUUUCUUUCUUUCUUCCUUCCUUCCUUCCUUCCUUCCUUCCUUUCUUGUGCUGGUGAUUGAACCCUGGGCUUCCAGUAUGCUAAGCUUUUGCUCUACCGCUAAGCCACACCUGCAGGCCCUUAUCUUAUUUUCUAAUGGAAUACAGCAGUCCUCAUCUCUGAAUACCACUAGAAGCUACAAGCUACUCAAAUGCAGUCAGCAUCCAGCAAAGAUGAUUUUGCUGCUCUAAUUGCAACAUUUGAAGACGCUGUGAAAUGGAAGAGCUUUUGAAGCAAAUAAGGGCAUCUAGCCCUGGAAACAUUUUGCAUUGGAAAUUGAUGUUUUCUGCUUUACAAUACUCCCCUUUCUCUCUUUUCAUGCACUCUCUGGGGUGUUAUGAUAUCAGGAUUAAUCUGAGAUCUUGUGAAAUAAAUUAGUCCUAUUCUUUUGCCUUUCAUUCCAGCCCUUUCUUCUUUCACAUUGAAAAAAACCCCCUAACUUAUUAGCUCAGCCUGCUGAAACAUUUUAAACACUAUGUCUAAGAACAUUGCUUUGGGGUGGUUAGUCCUAAGUUUACUAAUUUACACAAAAAUGUACUGAGUCAGGAGUAUUUAAAUUAGCUGAAUUGAAACAAAAUUGUAUUUUGGGUAAACAAUAUUGUUCAAGCGAACAUGUUGUUAAUUUUUUUGGACAAGGACCAUUUUGGCCGCACAAGACCCAACAGUACAUAUGGACUUCAAGAGCCAGGCUGUGGAUCCCUGCAGCUGUCAGCCCUGUUAUGAAGAGGUCAGGAAGCGAUGUGGUGACUUGGCCACCAGUAACAUGACUGCAGCCUUGUCCUGACUGUACCCAUCAUCCAAAUGCAUAAGACUUGUGAAAAAUACACGGGGAAGAGCCAGACUAAUGUCACCCUGACAGACUGGAUGAUAAAGGAGGCAAAGAUAUUUCAAGCAGAUCGAGCCUUUCCUCUCAAGUAUGACUUCACUAUCCAAGGGUUGAAAUGACACAAUCUUAGGAAAACCACAGUUGGGGAUUCCAGCGACUUUCCGUAAGCCUUUUGAAGAGCACUGCAGAGAGUGAAGUCAUAAGGAAUUAAAAUGUGGGGAGCAUUGCCUCAGAAUGAGGACUCAUGUGGCACCUGCGCACUUUUUAAAGAUGUGUUAGAAAGAACUUGCAGAAGUGUUGGUGACGUGCCCAGGAUUAGAUAAUUAGAGUGGACCCGGCACUCACAGACACUGAUGCUAAAGGUGCGUAGGAAGGGAUUUAAAAACUUGUUUCAUGAAAUGUGAGAAUGCAAUCAUUUUUAUGAAGGUAAAAUAUUGACGAUAAAAUGAGAUUUUCAAUAUGUAUGUGUGACCAUAGGUUAAGUGACUUGCGUACAUAUUACAAUACACUCUCCAUUUGUACAUGUGGGUUGGCAAAAACUUUUCACCAAACCAACGAAAAUGAUGUCUUUGUAGUCAAGGUCACAUGCACAGUUUUCACUAUGGUGAUGAUCUGAGUAAUGACUGUCUCCCUAAGGACAGUGAGUGCCACAAGAACACAGCCACUCUCCAGCCUGACUUCCUGUUACAUCUGUGGCAUUUCACAGGAAGUGGAACACUGGAUACAUUCGUUGUUUGCGACAUCAGAUAAAAAUACUCCUUAUUUACAUAAUUGCAUGACCUAGAAAACUGGAGAAACCAAAGCAGACACUUCAACAGAAAGCAUUUUCAUGAGAGAUGAGAAGACAGAGGCCCAGAGUAGGUAAGGUUACAAAACUGGAGAAGAAGCGUUCCCGGGCGGCACACCACGGCGACGGAGGCAGCAGGGAGAACCUGGGAAGCCAGCUGACCGUCGGGUGUUAUUGAUGUGCUGCUAAGUGCGAUCAUUUCUAUUCGUCCCCCUCUGUUUUCUCAGUGAUUUUUCCCAGUAGACUGGCCACUGUUUUAGUGGUUUUCUUGCUCAUUUUCUCAAUUCCUAUUCACUGAAUCUUUAAAGGAAACAUUUAGCUACUGCAACUAGUGUACAUAAGUUGGUUGCAUAAUAGGCAGGAGAGAAGCCAGGGCUGGAGACUUCAUUUCUAAAGAAGGAUUUUGAAGCCGACUCAGAGCUAUUUCACAGAGCCGGUCAUGACGCCCAGUCGCUCCGCGCCUUUUCAUCGCUAUGACGACAGGCUGCCCCUGCUCCGCAUCCAGGAAAAACAGCUGACAUCUCAAUGCUAGGAACACAGGGGCGAGCUUGACAAAAAACAAAAAACACAAACAACUCCUUUCCUUUGAAUUUCAGCGAGAGAGGCAAAAAUAUCCCCUAGAGGAAGUCAAAACCCCUAUUCUUGCCUUCAGAAAAGCUCUGAAAGAGAAAAUGCUGGGGGUCUUCUCCCCUGUCCAAGUAGGCUAAUAAAGCAGGAGCCACCGCAGGGCAGCCUGGCUCCCGGGGCCUCCUGCGGGCUGGCAGAAAGCUCCCUGGUUUCAUUUGACUUGGCCCUUAGGGAGCUGCUAAUUGAAGGACCAAUAAAGGCUUCUGUAACAAACACCUCCUGCGGAGGGCUCCAGGGGAAAUGGGGGCAGGUUUAUCUUUACAUUUCUUUGGAUUAAAAGGACAACACCUCAAAGAAUUUUUUUUUCCUGGGCUCCCAUUUUACUACCAGAGACAUCAUUCCCACUGCAACCAAUAAAAUUUCCUGCGUGUCAAGUAUUUUACCGGGCACUAUGCUAUACUUCAAGUAUAGCUCACUUGAUUCUUACAAUAACCUCAUCCGAGGGUAUCAGGUUGCCCAUUCUGCUGUGUAGGUGGAUAAACUGAGGCCUGGAAAUGUGAAGUGACUGCCCAGGCUCAUGGAGGCAGGGUCUGGUUCCAGCCAUGGUGCUGGCCUCGGGAGCCCCUGUCCUGCCCACUCUGCUGGGCUGGCUCGGAGGCCUCAGCUUGCCGUUGACGUUUAUUGUGGAGCGAAAUACGUGAGUUUCAGUAGGGACACAGCUAGGCCAAUACCUCUGUAUUAGCUGUGAUUAACUGCUUAGUUACUAGGUCCCGGGCACAGCUGCUGCCUUUACUUUACUCUCACAUCCAAGGUCUGGAGUAGCUACUCAUUUUAAGAUCCCUACUCUACAGAAGAGGGAUUGAAGCACAGAGAGGUGAAGUCAUCUGCCCGAAGUCUGAGAGCUAUUUCAUGGCAAAGUUCGGGUAUAAGCCGGAUUUCCGUAGUCACGUACAAACCGGAGCCCAUGGUCUUACUUUAUGGACUAGCUCUAUACCUUUGGAGCAAUCAGUCAAGACCACAUGCUCUGUCUUCCAGAGUUCUGGCCAUCUGUCAGUGCCUCUGACAAAGCCAGGCUAGCUCUUGGAAGAAGGAAGACGCCCCACAUGACCCAUAAGAGCCAGACUGGGGUCCUGCUGGGCAUGUGCCUCUUAAUAAGCCUGUCAUCCUGGACCUAGGGCGUCUUAGAGUGAUAUGUGACAGGAAAACACACUCCAAGUCUCUUAACAAGUGGAUUAUGUUCUUGAUAAACAAAUGUACCCAGAAUGGAUUGGGCAUGGUGCAGAACUUAACUAACAUAGCAAUGUUCAUGUAAGGUCGAUUAAAUAACAAUAAUAGUCAAGAGGAAAUGAAGUGAGUUUCCCAGAUAGAUCACUGUGCAGUUUCAUUUCUGUCAUCAUUCUUCAUUAUUUUUCCUUAGUUGACAUGUGAAACUGCAAUGAGAAGAUUUUAGGGGUUAAAUCCUAAGGGCCAAAGCAAAAGAAUCCCCAGCGUUCUAAUUGCUCUGUGGCGAGAAAGUCUGAAAGAACAAGGCAAGGUUCAUGAGUAACAUCUAUGUUCCUUUCCAAAUCGUGGAAACCAACAUUACCUGAUUGGAUGAUAAGCAAAUGAAACAGACUCCUCUGCUUGGCUGGAUUUUGUUGCAUGAUCGGACACAUACACUUGUAUCUGUCCCAGAAGGAUGUCUUUCUAACGUAGUCAGCAUUAACCAUAGUUAUAAUCAUCAAGAUACAACUGAGCGAGCUGUGAGUGGAAAAAGCUGGUAUCCGUGAGAACAGGGAGAAUAUUUUAAGAAAAGAUUUUGCUGAGCUGGACUGAAUGAGCAUCUCUGUUCAGUGUGCUGAGGCCCAGGGCCAGAGGAGAGUGCAGAGGCAAGGCCAAGGUGACACCGUUCACCUCUUUGCAGAUGAAAGCAGUGCCAGGGAGCCGUUCCUCCUGUUUGCCUCAGGGUGUGCACUUUCAACAGGAUAAAUCUGCAGCGGGAAACAGGGUUUACUACCUGGAGGGAUGAGUGAGCAUUAUUGCCAUAGGAUAGGACAGAGGGCAGAGAUGACAGUACCGUCACGGAAAAAGAGUAACAAAUUCUCCUUAGCUCUUUAAUUCUCCUGCCCCCUUUUUGCUUUUCUUUGUAAGACAUCAUUAGGAAUUAGAGAAAUUUUGUGUCUGGUGGUUAUCUUAACAAAUGAUAGUAUGGAGUAAAACCCAAUUAUUUAUAAUGCUAUAAAAGAGAAUGAGGGAAGACAUAACUUAAAAUAACUUAGAAAUAGCAAAUUAUCUAGUAUCUGAGAGAUUUUUCAAACCUUUUAGAAAAGCAAAAUGUUCCAGUUGUAUGGUGCUUUUAAGUACAAAAUGGACUUAUGAUGAUGAAGAACUUCAGAUAAUUUAAACAUGGAAAACAUGUAAAUUAUUUGAUUAGAAGUUUUAAAAAACUAGUUUCUUUAUGGUUUAUUCAUGUAUUUAUUAGUACAUUGUUUCUAUAAAACCCAUUUCAGGAUUCAGGCUUCCCCAAGAUCCCAGUGCUACCAGGCUACCAAUAGUUCUCAAUUUCUACUCUUGGUCUUUCCUAAAACUGUCAUUUACUAAUAUUUGCUAAUAAACCUUGAAGGAGAAAAGAAGAAAUAUGAAUACAAAUAGUGAAAUUCCCUACUAAGUAGCUUUCCUGUAAGGCAUGAAAGCUGUUUUUCUUUUUGUAAGUACAUGGCUUGGUAUUUUUUAGGUGAAAAUAUUAAAGUUUUUCCAGAUUAUGCAGAUCAGCUUAACAAAUGCAAUUACACAGUAUAGCAUAUCUGUUCCAA